UACGUAGGGUGCGAGCGUUAAUCGGAAUUACUGGGCGUAAAGCGUGCGCAGGCGGUGAGCUGUGUCCGAUGUGAAAGCCCCGGGCUUAACCUGGGAACUGCGUUUGAUACGGAUGGGCUAGAGUUCGGGAGAGGAGAGUGGAAUUCCCAGUGUAGAGGUGAAAUUCGUAGAUAUUGGGAAGAACACCGGUGGCGAAGGCGGCUCUCUGGACCGAGACUGACGCUGAGGCGCGAAAGCGUGGGGAGCAAACAGG
rnacentral:rRNA from 1 species